CCUACGGGUGACAGCAGUGGGGAAUAUUGCACAAUGGGGGAAACUCUGAUGCAGCGACGUCGCGUGAGUGAAGACGUACCUCGUUAUGUUAAGCUCUAUCAGCAGGGAAGAAAAUGACGGCACCUGAGUAAGAAGUUCCGGCUAACUACGUGCCAGCAGCCGCGGUAAUACGUAGGGGGCAAGCGUUAUCCGGAUUUACUGGGUGUAAAGGGAGCGUAGACGGCAGUUCAGGUCUGGAGUGAAAGGCGGGGGCUCAACCCCCGGACUGCACUUGAAACUGUACGGCUGGAGUGCAGGAGAGGUAAGUGGAAUUCCUGGUGUAGCGGUGAAAUGCGGAGAUAUUAGGAGGAACACCAGUGGCGAAGGCGACUGACUGGACUGUAACUGACGUUGAGGCUCGAAAGCGUGGGGAGCAAACAGGAUUAGAUACCCUAGUAGUC
rnacentral:rRNA from 1 species